rnacentral:lncRNA from 1 species
ACUGCCCUACAGGCUUCACCGAGGGCACUAUAUCCUUCUGCGCGAUUCGUACCCGGAUAUACUUGUAUCCUUGCAGCGAGUGAACCACCUCGCCUCUGUUGUGGCUAUUAAAACGUGAUAUUCAAGGACAUUUCUAAGUGUAAAGUUAUUGAGGUAAAUCUGACGGGUUUUUUUUCACUUUUGAUCUCAAACCAUGUGAAUGUGAAUGUGCCUGGUCAGGGAGUAAUGUGUGUCGGAUUCCGUAGACCUCGCGCUGGUGUUUGCGGGUCAACCAUGCCAUGCUAGUUUCUUUUCAGCUAUCUUCUGUAAACAUUUAGUGUUACAAACGCGUGUUACCGCUUUCAAAUGUCAUCUGCAAGGCAAAAAUGCAUAUUAAAGGGAUAUUCCGGCGUAAAAGUAAGUUAGGGUCAAACACACUGCAACACCGAGUUAGACACCUCGUCUAUAGAUAAAUGUUGCCGACUGCUUGCUUCUCUAGUAAUGACAGCACUAGCCACCAAACAUCUUUUUUAACUUUGCCUAAUUUCUGUAGCAAAGAGACUAAACACAACUCACCGUCUCUCUUCCAGCAGCUGCUUGCCUGUAUGGAGACCCCAGGCGAGUCCAUUGCCGCAGCAGGGGGACGCAGCUCAAGGAAGAACAUAUAUGAUCACUACUCAAUGGAAAUGCAAACAGACCGAGACGCUAAGGCAGACCAACUACCGCGUCUGCAGUGCAAAAUGAUUAAUAUAAUGAUUACUACUUAAAGGAAAUGAUAAAGUAAGGAUCAUGAAUGUUCUUCCUUGAGCUGCAUCCCCCUGCUGCAGUCGAUGGACUCACCCGGAGGUCACAGUAUACACAAGCGGCUUCUGGAAGAGAGACGGUGAGUUGUGUUAAGUCUCUUUACUAAAGAAAUUAGGCAAAGCUAAAAAGAUGUUUGGUGGCUAGUGCUGUGUCUAGGACCCUAUAUGUAUUGUUGAUGAAGUUAGGUGCUGUUCUGAGCAUUAUUUGUGGCUAUAGAGUGGCGUUUUGGUUGAGCGCGUAGCUGUAUUGCUAUCUGUGGUCGCUACUAAAGUUUGUAUAACUAGAGAAGCAAGCAGUCGGCAACAUUCAUCUCUCGACGGGGUGUCUAACUCGGUGUUACGGUGUGUUUGACCCUAACUUAAUUUUAUGCCGUAAUAUAAUUCACGCGAUAGUUGAAAAUUAAUGCAAAAGCUACGUUGUUGUAUAGCUUGAUGUUUAUCGUAUUUUGAUGCAAAUACUUGAUAACAAUAAAAAGUCCAGACUAAACUUAUAGUCUAGGGUCAGUCAUGUAAGGUGCUCAUUCUGUAGCUGAACUUCACUUGUCUGUUUUUUUUUUACUUUGUAGCUGAGGCACCAUGACGCCCCUCCUGUUGAGGCACCUUGCCACCUCAGUAUCCUCCCAAGUGGCCAACAUCAGCAAGAUAAGUAGGAUUUUCCCAUCACCAGCUGCAAGUAUCUACAGAAGUCUCUACACCCUCACCACAGCUCCCCGGGUACUAUUCCUGUCAUCAAGGAAAACUGGCUCCAUCCAGCCCCCCUUGCCUGGCUCAUUUGGUCAAUGUGGACAAUCCUUGUUGCAAGAGUGCCAGCAUCUUUCUUGCGUCCAGCCUUCCAGAGGGAUGAAAACAAAGUCUGCCCUGAGGAGGCGCUGUAAAGACUGUUUCAUUGUCCGACGGAGAGGAAGUUUGUAUGUGUUCUGCAAGACAAAUCCACGGCAUAAGCAGAGACAGGGCUGAAAUUAAGUAUUAUCGAAAAGAGUGUAGAGAGUUUGUGGCUAUGUUUUGAGAACUGUUCUGCAAUAAAACUGCUUGAAAAAAUAUUAACAUUGCUGCUUCAGUUGUCUUCUAUUUACUCUUUACAUCUGCCCAUCCAUCCAUUCAUUCAUCUUUUUUCUCAGUCAAGGUGUUAGGGUGGUUUUCUUUAGCCAGUCAUGUCAGCCUCUAGGGUGUUGGAGCUGUGUCACUCAAAUACCUUGGAUACUUUGGUGCUAGAUUUCUGGAGCCAUGGGCCUGCGACAACCAUCCUCAUCAAGGACAUUGUACCCAUGUUUAACAUCACUCAGGCUCCCAAAAUAUGUUGUGCUUUAUAAUUAGCACCGUACAUGGACUCUCCUUUAGGUCAACAAGAUGCACGCAGAAUGUUUGGAAACAUGGAUGGCUAUAUAUGCCUGAACAGUCUAAGACCAGUCUUUGUUACACUUGUGGCAUGAUGAAGUUGUAACCCAGAUCUGCAACCAGUAAAACUUGCCAAAAUGAUAA